rnacentral:rRNA from 1 species
AACUGGGAUUAGAUACCCCACUAUGCUUAGCCCUAAACAUAGAUAAUUUUACAACAAAAUAAUUCGCCAGAGGACUACUAGCAAUAGCUUAAAACUCAAAGGACUUGGCGGUGCUUUAUAUCCCUCUAGAGGAGCCUGUUCUAUAAUCGAUAAACCCCGAUAAACCUCACCACCUUUCGCUAAUUCAGUCUAUAUACCGCCAUCUUCAGCAAACCCUCAAAAGGUAGAACAGUAAGCACAAUCAUUUUACAUAAAAAAGUUAGGUCAAGGUGUAACUUAUGAGGUGGGAAGAAAUGGGCUACAUUUUCUACCCAAGAACAUUUCACGAAUGUUUUUAUGAAAUUAAAAACUGAAGGAGGAUUUAGUAGUAAAUUAAGAAUAGAGAGCUUAAUUGAAUAGGGCCAUGAAGCACGCACACACCGCCCGUCACCCU